rnacentral:rRNA from 1 species
GGGCCGCUAUCGUCUACAUGCAAGUCGAGCGAACAGAUAAGGAGCUUGCUCCUUUGACGUUAGCGGCGGACGGGUGAGUAACACGUGGAUAACCUACCUAUAAGACUGGGAUAACUUCGGGAAACCGGAGCUAAUACCGGAUAACAUAUUGAACCGCAUGGUUCAAUAGUGAAAGGCGGCUUUGCUGUCACUUAUAGAUGGAUCCGCGCCGUAUUAGCUAGUUGGUAAGGUAACGGCUUACCAAGGCAACGAUACGUAGCCGACCUGAGAGGGUGAUCGGCCACACUGGAACUGAGACACGGUCCAGACUCCUACGGGAGGCAGCAGUAGGGAAUCUUCCGCAAUGGGCGAAAGCCUGACGGAGCAACGCCGCGUGAGUGAUGAAGGUCUUCGGAUCGUAAAACUCUGUUAUCAGGGAAGAACAAAUGUGUAAGUAACUGUGCACAUCUUGACGGUACCUGAUCAGAAAGCCACGGCUAACUACGUGCCAGCAGCCGCGGUAAUACGUAGGUGGCAAGCGUUAUCCGGAAUUAUUGGGCGUAAAGCGCGCGUAGGCGGUUUUUUAAGUCUGAUGUGAAAGCCCACGGCUCAACCGUGGAG